AGUGAACGCUGGCGGUAGGCCUAACACAUGCAAGUCGAACGGCAACACAGUAAGAGCUUGCUCUUAUGGGGGGCGAGUGGCGGACGGGUGAGGAAAGCAUCGGAAUCUACUUUUUCGUGGGGGAUAACGUAGGUAAACCUACGCCAAUACAGCAUAUGAUCUACGGGUGUAAGCAGGGGAUCUUCGCACCUUGUGCGAUUGAAUGAGCCGAUGUUGGACUAGCUAGUUGGCGGGGUAAAGGCCCACCCAGUCGACGAUCCGUAGCUGGUCGGAGAGAAUGGUCAGCCACACUGGAACUGAAACGCGGACCAGACUCCUACGGGAGGCAGCAGUGGGGAACGUUGGGCAAAGGGCGGAAGCCUUGUCCAGGCAGCCCGCGUGGGUGGAGAAAGCCUUCGGGUUGUAAAGCCCUUUUGUUGGGAAAGAAAAGCAGUAGGUUGAGACCCCGCUGGUCUGACGGUACCCAAAGAAUAAGCACCGGCUAACUUCGUG
rnacentral:rRNA from 1 species